GGUAGGAUGGCUGAGCUAAGCGGUGGAUUGUAGCCCCAUAGACAGAGGUUUGAGCCCUCUUCUUAUCA
rnacentral:tRNA from 1 species